CUUUCAGGAAUAUAGAGAGACACUCAGCUGACCUGGGGAAAUUACAAGCUGCUUGACCAAUAAGCUCAUUAUCUUGUUUUUGACGGAGAAAGAGCUGAGGAACAAAGAUGACAAAUAAAACCCCAGCUGUGAGGUGAAAGAAAUCUUAACCUUGGCUCACAGGCCCCCUUCCAAAGCUACGCAGUGUGUGGGGAUCCGUGAGCUGCCAGUUCUGGUCAGAAAAUCAUAAAGAAGUCUCAGAAUUACUUCCUAGGCGAGGGUCUGCUUCAGAGUCACACAGAGAUGCCUCUUGCUUUCACCUCUGUACCCAUCUCAUUGCCUCUCUUUGAAUCCAGGCUUGAACACUGUGCAAGCAGAAUAAGCAGGCAUUCUCUUCAAUUAGUUCUGAAACCAUCUCAAUGAUUUUGGGAAAACAAACUCCCCACAAUCUGGCAACAAGGUGUCCAGCAGGGGUUAUUUUUAAGUCUGUUUCUUAGUUUCCUGCAGAAUACACUGAGCAUGCCAAAAGGCUUCAAAGCUACAGUUAUGGCAUCAGCGACAGCUCUUCAGCUAGCCUGUGCUUCGACCGAAAACAGCACAAACAGAAAAGUCAGCCAAGCCACGAGGGGCCUGGUCAAGCGUCUAACAGUGUAGGAUCGCUGCCUAACAAGCAGGCUCCUACUACAAUACAGCCUUUGAAGUGUCUUGAAAAUAAAUCCUAUGUUUGGAAAACAAAGCCCUCUCUCCAGGCCCAGACUCACCCCACUCACCCCGCCCUCAUCCCUGUUUCACUGAAAAGCUACAAAUGAAAAAGCACUUGGAUAUUUAAAUAUUUUCAUAUAGAGUAACAUUUUUCU